CAAUAGCGUAUAUUAAAGUUGUUGCAGUUAAAAAGCUCGUAGUUGAAUUUCGGGUCCCCGCGCUCGGCGCUUCAUUGUGCCGUCGUGGUGUCCCUCCUCGCCGUAAGGCGUCCUUUACUGUGAAAAAAUUAGAGUGUUCAAAGCAGGCAAUCGCUUGAAUACAUUAGCAUGGAAUAAUAAGAUAGGAUCUUGUCUAUUUUGUUGGUUGCGGACAACGAUAAUGAUUAAUAGGGAUAGUUGGGGGUGUCCGUAUUGAGCUGUCAGAGGUGAAAUUCUUGGAUUUGCUCAAGACGAGCUAUUGCGAAAGCAUUCACCAAGGAUGUUUUCAUUAA
rnacentral:rRNA from 1 species